GACGAACGCUGGCGGCGUGCUUAACACAUGCAAGUCGAACGGAAAGGCCUCUUUCUUGUGGUGUUCUCGUGUCGCAAGCGUGAGUAACACAUGAGUGUCAUCCCCUUUACUUUUGGGUAUCUUUUCAGGACUGUGGCUAUUACCGCGUAUAGGCUCCUCCGGCGUGUGGUGGGUUUGGGAAUUUCUCCGCGGGUGGGGAUGGACUCGCGGAUUAUCAGUUUUUUGGUGGGGGUGUGGCUUACCAAGGUUUUGACGGGUAGGCGGUCUGAGGGGGUGAACGGGCACAUUGGGACUGGGAUACGGCCCAGACUUCUACGGGAGGCAGGAGGUGGGAAUAUUGGACAAUGGGGGGGAGCCUGAUGCAGCAAAGCCGUGGGCCGGAUUACGGGCUUCGGGGUGUAAACCGGUUUUGCUCAGGAAGAAGCUUUGUGUGACGGUAGUGGGUAAAGAAGCACCGGCUAACUACGUG
rnacentral:rRNA from 1 species